rnacentral:rRNA from 1 species
CCUACGGGUGGCAGCAGUGAGGAAUAUUGGUCAAUGGACGAGAGUCUGAACCAGCCAAGUAGCGUGAAGGAUGACUGCCCUAUGGGUUGUAAACUUCUUUUAUAUGGGAAUAAAAUGUUCCACGUGUGGGAUUUUGUAUGUACCAUAUGAAUAAGGAUCGGCUAACUCCGUGCCAGCAGCCGCGGUAAUACGGAGGAUCCGAGAGUUAUCCGGAUUUAUUGGGUUUAAAGGGAGCGUAGGUGGAUUGUUAAGUCAGUUGUGAAAGUUUGCGGCUCAACCGUAAAGUUGCAGGUGAAAAUGGCAGUCUUGAGUACAGUAGAGGUUGGCGGAAUUCGUGGUGUAGCGGUGAAAUGCUUAGAUAUCACGAAGAACUCCGAUUGCGAAGGCAGUUCACUGAACUGCAACUGACACUGAGGCUCGAAAGUGUGGGUAUCAAACAGGAUUAGAUACCCGGGUAGUC